rnacentral:rRNA from 1 species
UACGUAGGGUGCGAGCGUUGUCCGGAAUUAUUGGGCGUAAAGGGCUCGUAGGCGGUCUGUCGCGUCGGGAGUGAAAACUCAGGGCUUAACCCUGAGCCUGCUUCCGAUACGGGCAGACUAGAGGUAUGCAGGGGAGAACGGAAUUCCUGGUGUAGCGGUAGAAUGCGCAGAUAUCAGGAGGAACACCGGUGGCGAAGGCGGUUCUCUGGGCCGAUACUGACGCUGAGGAGCGAAAGCGUGGGGAGCAAACAGG